ensembl:snoRNA
AUGCAGAGUGUUGAGUUCAGUUCUGGGAAACUUUCCUGUUCUGUUAAUAGAACUCAGGGACAUUGAAAUACAGACUAGGGGAGAUGAUUGGAUACAGUAUUUCUCUAUUCAUUUACUUCUUGUCUUAUUACA